rnacentral:lncRNA from 1 species
AUAUGAGUGCACACCCCCAAGUUCAUGCAAUAUUUAACUAUUUGAGACAAUUACUUAUUACUUAACAUAUUUUUGUGGCCAACACUUCUUUUUUCUCUAUUUCAAAGAGACUUCGACUUUGACCUGGAAGUGUCAGGCAUGUCGAAGUACAUAACCCGACAGUGGAAUGAUCAGUUUAAGGAGUGGAAGUACAAGCUACGCAAUCACUACUUGACUUUUGAAAGUCACUAUGAAGCCCUGAUCCAUCCACCAAACGAGUGGCACUGGCUCUGCAGUUAUCUUCGAAAUUUAUAAAUUCUGAAAAUGGACGUCUUCUAGCGUGAAGAAGUUUCCCAUUAAGAAUAAAUUUGUUUUUCAAUUUUAAUACAAUUGUACGAGUAUUUUGGUUUUAUUAAUGAAAAUAUU